UCCCCGUUACCGAGGCAGUCUGAUUAGAAAAUUCAACUAAUCACAAGGGUUGCGCUCGUUAAAGGACUUAACCUAACAUCUCACGACACGAGCUGACGACGGCCAUGCAGCACCUGUCACCUGAUUCCCGAAGGCACAGUCUCCUUUCGGAGACCUUCCAGGGAUGUCAAGCCUUGGUAAGGUUCUUCGCUUAUCAUCGAAUUAAACAACACGCUCCACCGCUUGUGCGGGUCCCCGUCAAUUCCUUUAUGUUUUAAGCUUGCGCUCGUACUCCACAGGCGGGAUGCUUAACGCGUUAGCUUCGCUACUACUCGGGUCGAUACGAAUAACAGCUAGCAUCCAUCGUUUACGGCGUGGACUAC
rnacentral:misc_RNA from 1 species